AACGAACGCUGGCGGCAUGCCUAACACAUGCAAGUCGAACGAGACCUUCGGGUCUAGUGGCGCACGGGUGCGUAACGCGUGGGAACCUGCCCUUAGGUUCGGAAUAACUCCCCGACAGGGGUGCUAAUACCGGAUAAUGUCUUCGGACCAAAGAUUUAUCGCCUUUGGAUGGGCCCGCGUUGGAUUAGCUAGUUGUUAGGGUAAUAGCCUACCAAGGCGACGAUCCAUAGCUGGUUUGAGAGGAUGAUCAGCGACACUGGGACUGAGACACGGCCGAGACUCCUACGGGAGGCAGGAGUGGGGAAUAGUGGAAAAUGGGCGAAAGGAUGAUGCAGCAAGGACGCGUGAGUGAUGAAGGCCGUAGGGUUGUAAAGCGCUUUUAACCGGGAUGAUAAUGACAGUACCGGGAGAAUAAGCUCCGGCUAACUACGUG
rnacentral:rRNA from 1 species